rnacentral:rRNA from 1 species
UACAGAGGGGGCGAGCGUUAUUCGGAAUUAUUGGGCGUAAAGGGCGCGUAGGCGGCCUUUCAAGUGACGGGUGAAAUCCCUCGGCUUAACCGAGGAACUGCCUGUCAGACUGGAAGGCUUGAGACCGGGAGAGGUGAGUGGAAUUCCCAGUGUAGCGGUGAAAUGCGUAGAUAUUGGGAGGAACACCAGUGGCGAAGGCGGCUCACUGGACCGGUACUGACGCUGAGGCGCGAAAGCCAGGGGAGCAGA